rnacentral:rRNA from 1 species
GACGAACGCUGGCGGCGUGGAUUAGGCAUGCAAGUCGAACGGUAUCAUCCUUUCGGGGGUGAGAGAGUGGCGAACUGGUGAGUAACACGUAGGUUAUCUACCCUCAAGACGGGGACAACCCAGGGAAACUUGGGCUAAUACCGGAUGUGAGCAACUUUUAGUUGUUUGAAAGGUGGCGUAAGCUGUCGCUUGGGGAUGAGCCUGCGUCCUAUUAGUUAGUUGGUGAGGUAACGGCUCACCUAGGCAAUGAUAGGUAGGCGGCCUUAACGGGUGGUCGCCCACACUGGGAUUGAGAUACGGCCCAGACUCCUACGGGAGGCAGCAGUCGAGAAUAGUCUACAAUGGUCGGAAGACUGAUAGUGCGACGCCGCGUGAACGAUGAAUCCCUUCGGGGUGUAAAGUUCUUUUAUAUGUGAGCAGUGCUUCUUAUAUUAACAGUAUGGGGAGAGAGAUAUUAGCAUAUGAAUAAGCAACGGCUAAACUCCGUGCCCAAGCAGCCCGCGGU